rnacentral:lncRNA from 1 species
GUGGUUAGUGAAGCUGUAGGGCUGGAUGCUCUCGUUUUCCCUGAUCCUUCAUCUGUAGUUGACAGUCUGGUCGACGAGGUCUUUGCUUCUACCAUAAUUUUGAGUGAUUUAGCAUUGUUUUCACUUGACUAAAAACAAAUGCUUACAUUGACACGCGUAGGCUAGUGUGAUGGCGCAAGGCGCGGGGGCCGAAGAAGAUGUUGUUUCCGGUGGUGCAUCAUUUGAAAAUGUGAGUUUUGAUUAGCUUUUCCUACCGGUAUUGUGCAAACAUGUGCAUGUGUUCUAAUCCAUGAGGAUCAAAACAUUUUGUUCGCGGGCUGAUCCGGACACGGAGAUCCCGCAGUUGUGGUUGGAGGAAGAGACAGCGGAUUUUGACCCUUGCAUGGGGCAUGCGGGGCCGGUGGGUGCAUGCAAGCUGUUGGAUGGGGAUCACAUGUCAGGGACGUGGGAUGCUGAAGCUGGGUGUGAGGAAGAUGACGCUGAGAGCCCUCCAUGCAAGCGUCCAAGGAUAUGACGACAUAAUGUAUUAGGUUGAUGCAUGCAAGUGUUUGAGGCCGUGUGUGUUGCUUAGAAUGUCAACUAAACGUACUUCAAGGUGUUAGUGGUGUUGUUCGCCACGUGCAUUUUUCAGUUUCAUUCUCACUGUGUGUGUGUCGCUAAAAUGAAAAAGGUCUGGCCAUUGAGUAUUAUUUAAAUUUGCAUGUGAGAUACUG